rnacentral:lncRNA from 1 species
CAAAUAAAUCUGCAUUUAAACUGUGUCACCAGACAAUAUUGAUGUUAACAUAUCCCCUGUUGACAUUUUGACCCUCAGGUAUUAUUGAUAUAGAGAUUAAAGACGGCUCUGUUUCUAUUAAAGUGUCCCAAUAAGACAUGACAACAUGAAACAGGACCCUGAAACUGAAACAGCGAAUUGGAAUUCAGCCAUCUUUCUUUUUAUUAUUUACAUUCGUGCUGUCAGCCAAAAAGCUCUGUGAAAAGGAUGGUUGCCAAAAUACAUAACGUACAUAUUAGUAUCAUAAUAGUUAUAAUAGUUAGUAGCAGCAGUGUCAGUAGCUGCAGUUUUAAUAUUUUAUGUUAUUGUUGUUGCUUACUCAGAAUGAUGUAACAGCUUUCCCUCUGCAGAUUGGAAGCAGCCACUCUAAGAGGAAAACGAAAGUAAGCCGCACAGUGCCGAUGAUGUGAUGGGAAAAUCCCCAUCCGGCAUUUAUAAGGAGGCACAGAGCUGCUCUGACUCACAGAUAAAACAGCUCAGUGCAGAGACACAGUAGCAGGAGACACAAUCGGAGCUGAACGAUUUGGACUGCACAACUGGAGAUGAGGAAGCUUUUGAAUAUAAGAAAAAGGAGCAAAUCCUGGGGAACAGACAGCAGGAAGCCUCUUAUAGAGAAUAACAACAACGACAUACAAGAUGGGUGCAGCGGGUACGACAACCCCCUGGAUCAGAACACCUGCACCACCCAGGUGGAGAAGGAGAUCCCACUGCAGGAACUGGCUGAACUUCUGGGUGUGACUCCUGAUGUCAACCCGUCUGAGGAUGGAUCGUGUUGCUCACUGCGGCCUGAGACCAACUCACCUCAGCAGAAGCAGAGAGCUGUUCGCCUCAUACAAGCAUCAGUGUCCCAGCACCUCCCAAAGCCGCCAUCAGAUCUGGACCAGAACCUUCAGCAGCACCUGGUCAAUGUGCAGGAGACUGUGCCCAAUGAGCUCAUGAGGCUGUGGCCCCUGUUGGAGAAAAUGGAUUUGACUGAAAGUCUGAUUGAUUGCUACCAUCGUCAGACACUCGGUCACAUCGAUGAGCUACUCAAGAACGCCCAGUCCUGCAAGAAAGCCUUUGUGCUGAUGAACUGGGUCCUAAAUACAUAUCUGAGUCAGGAGCUGCUCGGUCAUCCCGACCUCCAGAAAAUGGAUCCGAUGAAGAAAGUCGACCUCCUGCUGUUCACAGAAUUGGCAGUAAAGGCAAAGAACAAGCUGCUGGACAACGUGCAGAAACAGGUCAGAGCACAUCUGGAGAACAUCCUGCAGAUCGAGAGGCGACAGGACGUUGGUGAUAAAGAGGAAACUUGCAUUGGACUUUAUAUCAACACCAUUAUGUGUAUUAAUGCGAUGCCCAAAGAAGCACAAGAAAUCAGCUCCAAACUGUCCGAUGAGGUCCGGGAGGUUUGUUUCCAGGAGCUGCUGAUAUUUCUGGAGAGGUACUCGUCCGAGCAGACUGAGAUUCUUGGGAAAAAAGCAAAAAUGGACAAACCAGAAACGAUACACUUCUUCAAGACGCUGAAAACCUGUAAAGAACUCAAGCAGCACGUCCAGACCAACAGCAAAGGCAUCAACGAGUCACUGAUCCAGGAAAUUGCAGAAACUCUUGAGAAGAUGGAGGAUUUUACUCUGAAACUCCUGAUGGAUAUUGUUGACGACAUGGCGGAGAUCCACCUGAGCAAUUACUUCAAGACGGAGAACAAGCAGUUCUUCUUCUUGAUCCUCGGACUGAAGGCGUAUUUCCCCAAGCUGUCGUGGUGUCAGGAUGUACAAAAGAGAGUGAUGGACGAGGCCUACAAGCUCAUCGCUCACAUUUACCUCAAACAUCUCGUCCAAAGCAGCCAGAAGAAACUGAAGAAGUGCUGGAGCGCUGAUGUUGGUCAGACGGUUACCGAAGAUGCCCAGAGUCUUCACGACACCAUCUCUGGCCUGGUGAGACCAACAGUUUGGUAUUAA